CUUACAUGUAAAAAGAGAGGUUUUUGGUGAAACGGACAUGUUUAAGGUGAUAAACGGCGCUGUGUCUGUCCUUUCCCGAUAGGCCCGGUGGUGGUGUGCUCGAAUGGGGAAGGCGUAGGCCAUAGAACAGUCUCUCUCUCCUCUCUUAAUUUCCUCUCUCUGUCUUUCUCUAAUUUCGGAUAUUACUACCAAAAACUGAUUAUUUUUUCAGAAAAGAUAAACCCUAACAUUCACCUCCUUUUCAUCACUUUCUCUCUCUACAAAUCAGCCUCUAGAGAGAGAAACACCUUUCCCCGUCGGUGAAUUCAAGGUCCAUUAACGGCGGUUUGCUGCCUAGGUUUUAGAAUGCUUCCAUGACUUGCAGUAAACGGCCGGAAGUGGAAAAAGAGAAAAAAAAAAAAAAGUGGUUUGUUUUCUCAAUACGGUGACUGCUUCAGUAUACUUUGGGGGUUAGACUUUUAGAGAGAGUGAGAGACAUAUACAUAUCUCGAGAACUUGAGGAAGCAACAUCACAGGAACCAAACUCCGAAAAACUCAUCCAUCUGGCAACCACUAAAUGUUCUGGAAGGAGCUGAACACAUAUUUGUUAGCUAGCUUCGGCAAAGCUUUAAAUACAGGCUUAAAAGGGCACUGAUGGGCAACUUCUUGUACGCAAUUACUGCUGCAUAACUUUUGUCAACCACAGCAGAAUUGGAUCAGAUCAAAGGGAAACUUAUAGAGAGAAUCUGAGCAAAUUCGCAGGCUUUGCGUUUGAAAUUACUGCAAAAGGCUUAAACGGUGCCUUGCUUCUGACAAUAGCGGGCUGUGGAUGAACGUGAUAUAUCGAAGCGCAAAAAGAGUCCUUUAUAUGUCACUAGAAAAGCCAAAGUACUGUGUGUAAUCGUCAUCAAUGCAAAGGAGACCACCCACACAUUAUACAGUUGCCCCCACCUGCACAAGCACCCACUUCUCUCUCUCCUCCUCCUCCAACUCCAAACCCUCUUUCAGAUCCCAAAAAUCCCAGUCUCUCUCUCCAUCCACUUUCUCUCUCUAAAAACUGGGUCUUUUUCUUGGUUUUGUUUUGUUGAGAAAGGCAUGAAAGUGGUACGGAGGUGGACGAGAUUCAAAUGCAGGGAUGUAACAAGAUGAGUCGGCAAAAGGGGGAUGAGCUAUACCCAGAUGAUGAAGAAGAUGGAGAGGUCAAACGGAUGAGGGGAGCAAUUGACGGCGGAAGCGCUGGCCUUGGCCGGCUCUGUGGGUGGCCGACAUCGCGGAUUGUUAGGGUUUCUCGGGCAUCGGGAGGGAAAGAUCGGCACAGCAAGGUUUGGACCUCCAAAGGGCUUCGGGACCGUCGAGUCCGUCUCUCAGUUCACACGGCAAUACAGUUCUAUGAUCUUCAAGAUCGUCUCGGUUACGAUCAGCCCAGCAAGGCCGUGGAAUGGCUACUGAGUGCGGCUGCUAGUUCCAUUGAUGAGCUACCUUCAAUUAACACUUCGUUUCUGGACACUCCUAAGCAAAUGAAUGAUAUAAAGAGGUUUGAUUUAGCUGAUGCAGAAUUAGAUGGUGGUGAGCAAAAUUAUCAGCAGCAACAACAUAUUUCUUUAUCGAAAUCGGCUUGUAGUAGCACUUCGGAAACUAGCAAAGGCUCAUCUUUGUCCCUUGCUCGAUCUGAAAAUCGCAUAAAAGCUCGAGAGCGAGCAAGAGAGAGGGCAGCGAAGGAGAAGGAGAAAGAAAAUGAGUCUUGUGUCAUCAAUCAUCCCAAUGUGAACCCCAUUUCUCAGACCUCUUUCACUGAGCUUCUCACCGGUGGCAUAGGCAGUAUUGGUAACAGCAAUACGAGUCCCAGUGGAUCAGCUCAACAAAACCAUCGUGGUGGCGAGUCUAAUAUGUUCCACAAGUCAACAAGGCAGUGGUCUUCAGCUCCCAUGGAUUAUUUCGCCUCCGAACUUCUUGAUCCGUCUUCGUCCCGAACACAUCAUUCUUCUUCUGGGUUUCCCGGCCAAAUUCAUUUGGGGAAUUCCCUCCCACAGUCCAUGACCAUUCCACCUUUCAGCGUUGGAGACCACCACCCAGAGCAGCAGCAUUUCUCUUUCGUCCCGGACCACCUGGUCUCGGUGGCAGCCCCAGCUGGUGGGGGCGACUAUAACCUCAACUUCACAAUCUCUUCCGGCCUUACUGCUGGUUUCAACAGGGGGACCCUUCAGUCCAAUUCGCCGUCUCUGAUGCCUUACCUUCAGAGGUUUUCUUCUGUAGACGGAUCAAAUGUGCCCUUCUUCAUUGGCACUGCGGCUUCAAAUGCUGCAGCUAUGGAGAAUAAUCAUCACUUCCCACCUGGACUUGAUGGCCGCUUGCAACUCUACUAUCGUGACUCCGGCCAGCAUUCCGACCAGAAGGGGAAAGGAAAGAACUGAGUUUCUUCAAUGGCUAGUUCCUCCUGGCACAUCUUCGAACUCUGGAAACAUUUACAAGAUGGGAAGUAGGCUAGUCACCAAGGGUGAGAUGUUUCUGGAACAACUGGUUUAGACUGCCAUCUUCCCUUUAUCCUUUAUUCAAUGGCACAAAUGGUGGAGAAGCCCGCUGGAAUAAUUUAUAUAUGGAGGUGCAUGAGAGUCUAAUUAGCAUUUUGUAUUUGGUUUACACACAUUCACCGGGAAGUUCAUAAGAUGCAUAUCACUAAUCUUAAAAGUACACAUACAACAGUUGGAUUUACAGCUGCUAUUGGUUCAUAAUAUGAGAGGUGUGAUAUGACUUUUUUUUUUUUUUUUUUCCUUCGUCUUCAAACUUCAUAUGGUUUAUAUGUGUAAAUGAAAAGCAUUUAGCAUUUUAUUUUUUAUUCUGAUGUGCUUGAAGCGAAGAUCCAAGUUUUAUGAUUUUAUAAAGUUUCGACUUGUCCAGUAUGUUUCUCAAACAAAUGCAAUUAUAUGUAUGAUUCUUUAAGAAAAA